UACGAAGGGGGCUAGCGUUGUUCGGAUUUACUGGGCGUAAAGCGCACGUAGGCGGAUCGUUAAGUUAGGGGUGAAAUCCUAGGGCUCAACCCUGGAACUGCCUUUAAUACUGGCGAUCUAGAGUCCGGAAGAGGUGAGUGGAACUCCUAGUGUAGAGGUGGAAUUCGUAGAUAUUAGGAAGAACACCAGUGGCGAAGGCGGCUCACUGGUCCGGUACUGACGCUGAGGUGCGAAAGCGUGGGGAGCAAACAGG
rnacentral:rRNA from 1 species